rnacentral:rRNA from 2 species
UGGAUCCAGACUUUGAUCAUGGCUCAGGAUGAACGCUAGCUACAGGCUUAACACAUGCAAGUCGAGGGGCAGCGGGAUUGAAGCUUGCUUCAAUUGCCGGCGACCGGCGCACGGGUGAGUAACGCGUAUCCAACCUUCCGUACACUCAGGGAUAGCCUUUCGAAAGAAAGAUUAAUACCUGAUGGUAUGAUGAGAUUGCAUGAUAGCAUCAUUAAAGAUUUAUCGGUGUACGAUGGGGAUGCGUUCCAUUAGGUAGUAGGCGGGGUAACGGCCCACCUAGCCAACGAUGGAUAGGGGUUCUGAGAGGAAGGUCCCCCACAUUGGAACUGAGACACGGUCCAAACUCCUACGGGAGGCAGCAGUGAGGAAUAUUGGUCAAUGGACGAGAGUCUGAACCAGCCAAGUAGCGUGAAGGAUGAAGGUCCUACGGAUUGUAAACUUCUUUUAUAAGGGAAUAAACCCUCCCACGUGUGGGAGCUUGUAUGUACCUUAUGAAUAAGCAUCGGCUAACUCCGUGCCAGCAGCCGCGGUAAUACGGAGGAUGCGAGCGUUAUCCGGAUUUAUUGGGUUUAAAGGGAGCGCAGACGGGUCGUUAAGUCAGCUGUGAAAGUUUGGGGCUCAACCUUAAAAUUGCAGUUGAUACUGGCGUCCUUGAGUGCGGUUGAGGUGUGCGGAAUUCGUGGUGUAGCGGUGAAAUGCUUAGAUAUCACGAAGAACUCCGAUUGCGAAGGCAGCACACUAAUCCGUAACUGACGUUCAUGCUCGAAAGUGUGGGUAUCAAACAGGAUUAGAUACCCUGGUAGUCCACACGGUAAACGAUGGAUACUCGCUGUUGGCGAUAUACUGUCAGCGGCUUAGCGAAAGCGUUAAGUAUCCCACCUGGGGAGUACGCCGGCAACGGUGCAACUCAAAGGAAUUGACGGA